AAGCUCGUAGUUGAAUUUCGGGAUUAGUACGUCGGUCGUGCCUUAGGUACGUACUGGUGUUACUGGUUCCUACCUUCUGACGAACCAUCAUGUCAUUAAUUUGGUGUGGUGGGGAAUCAGGACUGUUACUUUGAAAAAAUUAGAGUGUUUAAAGCAGGCUCGCGCUUGAAUACAUUAGCAUGGAAUAAUGAAAUAGGACGUUGAUCCUAUUUUGUUGGUUUCUAGGAUUGACGUAAUGAUUAAUAGGGAUAGUUAGG
rnacentral:rRNA from 1 species